GGGCCUAUAGUAUAUCGGUAAUACGCAUCCAUGGCAUGGAUGAGUGUCGGGUUCGACUCCCGAUAGGUCCA
rnacentral:tRNA from 1 species